rnacentral:rRNA from 1 species
CAAUAAGCGGAGGAAAAGAAACCAACAGGGAUUGCCCCAGUAACGGCGAGUGAAGCGGCAACAGCUCAAAUUUGAAAUCUGGCCCCCCGGCCCGAGUUGUAAUUUGGAGAGGAUGCUUUUGGCGCGGCGCCGUCCGAGUUCCUUGGAACAGGACGCCACAGAGGGUGAGAGCCCCGUACGGACGGACGCCUAACCUAUACCAAAGCUCCUUCGACGAGUCGAGUAGUUUGGGAAUGCUGCUCAAAAUGGGAGGUAAAUUUCUUCUAAAGCUAAAUACCGGCCAGAGACCGAUAGCGCACAAGUAGAGUGAUCGAAAGAUGAAAAGCACUUUGAAAAGAGGGUUAAAAAGUACGUGAAAUUGUUGAAAGGGAAGCGCCUGUGACCAGACUUGCGCUCCGUGGACCACCCGGCGUUCUCGCCGGUGCACUCCGCGGGGCGCAGGCCAGCAUCGGUUUUCCCAGGGGGACAAAGGUUGCGGGAACGUAGCUCCUUCGGGAGUGUUAUAGCCCGCGGCGGCAUGCCCCUGGGGGGACCGAGG